UAAGGAAUAUUGGACAAUGCCCGCAAGGGUGAUCCAGCCAUGCCGCGUGCAGGAAGACGGCCCUAUGGGUUGUAAACUGCUUUUACACCGGAGAAAACCUCCCGACGUGUCGGGAGCUGAUAGUAUGGUGAGAAUAAGCAUCGGCUAACUUCGUGCCAGCAGCCGCGGUAAGACGAAGGAUGCAAGCGUUAUCCGGAUUCAUUGGGUUUAAAGGGAGCGUAGGUGGCCUUAUAAGUCAGUGGUGAAAUCUCGCAGCUUAACUGCGAAAUUGCCAUUGAUACUGUAGGGCUUGAGUACAGUUGCUGUGGGCGGAAUAUGACAUGUAGUGGUGAAAUACAUAGAGAUGUCAUAGAACACCGAUUGCGAAGGCAGCUCACAAAACUGUAACUGACACUGAGGCUCGAAAGUGCGGGGAUCAAACAGGAUUAGAUACCCCUGUAGUCC
rnacentral:rRNA from 1 species